rnacentral:rRNA from 1 species
CCCGCGGCCUAUCAGCUUGUUGGUGGGGUAAUGGCCUACCAAGGCGACGACGGGUAGCCGGCCUGAGAGGCGACCGGCCACACUGGGACUGAGACACGGCCCAGACUCCUACGGGAGGCAGCAGUGGGGAAUAUUGCGCAAUGGGCGAAAGCCUGACGCAGCAACGCCGCGUGAGGGAUGACGGCCUUCGGGUUGUAAAACCUCUUCAGCGGGGACGAAGCGAAAGUGACUGUACCCGCAGAAGAAGCGCCGGCUAACUACGUGCCAGCAGCCGCGGUAAUACGUAGGGCGCAAGCGUUGUCCGGAUUUAUUGGGCGUAAAGAGCUCGUAGGCGGUCUGUCGCGUCGGAUGUGAAAACCCGGAGCUCAACUCCGGGCCUGCAUUCGAUACGGGCAGACUUGAGUACUGCAGGGGAGACUGGAAUUCCUGGUGUAGCGGUGGAAUGCGCAGAUAUCAGGAG